rnacentral:rRNA from 1 species
AUUGAACGCUGGCGGCAUGCCUAACACAUGCAAGUCGAACGGCAGCACAGUCUAGCUUGCUAGACGGGUGGCGAGUGGCGAACGGGUGAGUAACGCGUAGGAAUAUACCUUGAAGUGGGGGACAACCUGGGGAAACUCAGGCUAAUACCGCGUAAUCUCUUCGGAGGGAAGCUGGGGACCGCAAGGCCUGGCGCUUUAAGAUUAGCCUGCGUCCGAUUAGCUAGUUGGUGGGGUAAAGGCCUACCAAGGCGACGAUCGGUAGCUGGUCUGAGAGGAUGAUCAGCCACACUGGGACUGAGACACGGCCCAGACUCCUACGGGAGGCAGCAGUGGGGAAUAUUGGACAAUGGGGGGAACCCUGAUCCAGCAAUGCCGCGUGUGUGGAGAAGGCCUGAGGGUUGUAAGCACUUUCGGCGGGGAGGAGGAUGAGUUGGUUAAGAGCUGACUUAUUGGACGUUACCCGCAUAAGAAGCACCGGCUAACUCCGUGCCAGCCGCCGCUGUAACAC